UUCUUCUGAGAGCUCAACCUAUAUAACUAAACAAGAUAUGGAUAAGAUGUUCAACAUAUAUAGACAACAAGUGGUGUCAGAUGUAUUUAGUUUCUAUGACGGAUUAAAAACACAAGUGAUUGAAGAAUCUACAAAACAAGAAACUUGCUAUCAUGCCAUUCUUAAACAACAAGAAACUCACUACCAAAAGAUUCUUGACAAUCAAAAACAAUUUUUUGAAAAUCAACAACAAAGCCAACAAGACUAUUUCCAUAGCAUGCAAUCUAGCAUGCAAUCUUAUGUGGAUACCAGUUUCAACUCAGCCAAAUCUUACAUUGAUGAACAAAAUCAAAGUAUGCAGAAUCAAUUAUCCGACUAGAAAUCACACAUGGAAACGAUUGUCAGCUCUAUCCAACAAGAUAUACCUCCUCGUACAAGUCCAAUUGAGUUUGAAAUCCCUUCAACAUCUGAACAUAUUGAAGACAUGGAAAGAUCGGUGAAAGAAAAAAAUGGUAAACAAAAAUAGAUACAAUCUUUAUCAACAACAUCGAUUAAUGCUUUAGAAGACUAUAACAUCAUCAAGUACAAAAACAUUACAGAAUGGAUAUUACAAAAUUCAUCGGGGUAAGAUAUUUAAUUUUACGUUGCUAACUUAAAUAUUAUAAUUGGUAUUUUACUCAUUUAACACUGAUUUAAAUUCUCUUAUACAUCACAUAUUGGAACGAUGGAAUCGGCAAUCUAUGUAGAAAACAAUCGCUAGAAAAUAUACAAGAUGAAACGAAAAGUAUAAAUAUUGUGGUAAGUAAAAUUUAAUAAUCAUAAUUCAUUUUUCUCCAUUAUUCAUAUAUAUAAUUUACAUUUUUUGUUUACUAGCAUAUUGAUAUAGAAUUAAAGCUAUUGAGAAGGCUUGUUACCGUCGGUUCUCCGUUGCUUUCUAAAGAAUGUGCAAUCAUGGACCUUAGAUUCGAAACUGAAUGUGUUCAUUGGUAUACAAAUAUGAAAGAAGGAACUGGCCAUUCUGUAACUAAUUUCAACGCAUUACAACGAUACAUAAAAGGAGAUUGCCUGUAUCUGCUCGACCGUAGAUAACAUACAAAUAUUUACUAAUUCCAUCAGCAUAUCCAGGCAACACUU
rnacentral:lncRNA from 1 species